UCCAGCCAUGCCGCGUGUGUGAAGAAGGCCUUCGGAUUGUAAAGCACUUUAAGUUGGGAGGAAGGGCAUUAGCCUAAUACGUUAGUGUCAUGACGUUACCGACAGAAUAAGCACCGGCUAACUCUGUGCCAGCAGCCGCGGUAAUA
rnacentral:rRNA from 1 species